rnacentral:rRNA from 1 species
AUACCGCAUACGAUCUAUGGAUGAAAGCGGGGGAUCGCAAGACCUCGCGCGAUUGGAGCGGCCGAUAUCAGAUUAGGUAGUUGGUGAGGUAAAGGCUCACCAAGCCGACGAUCUGUAGCUGGUCUGAGAGGACGACCAGCCACACUGGGACUGAGACACGGCCCAGACUCCUACGGGAGGCAGCAGUGGGGAAUUUUGGACAAUGGGCGCAAGCCUGAUCCAGCCAUUCCGCGUGCAGGAUGAAGGCCCUCGGGUUGUAAACUGCUUUUGUACGGAACGAAAAGGUUUCUAUUAAUACUAGGAGCUCAUGACGGUACCGUAAGAAUAAGCACCGGCUAACUACGUG